AUAGACUCAUCUUAGCUCUUCAUUGGGUCAGCUAUCGUAAUUUAGAAAGAGAGCUGCCAAAUGAAGGGCUGUGAUUGGUUAAA
rnacentral:pre_miRNA from 1 species